rnacentral:rRNA from 1 species
CGCCUGGGGAGUACGGGUGAGGUAACGGCUCACCAAGGCAUUGACGGGUAGCUGGUCUGAGAGGAUGAUCAGCCACACUGGGACUGAGACACGGCCCAGACUCCUACGGGAGGCAGCAGUGGGGAAUAUUGCACAAUGGGCGAAAGCCUGAUGCAGCAACGCCGCGUGCGGGAAGACGGCCCUAGGGUUGUAAACCGCUUUCAGCAGGGAAGAAAAUGACGGUACCUGUAGAAGAAGGUGCGGCCAACUACGUGCCAGCAGCCGCGGUGACACGUAGGCACCAAGCGUUGUCCGGAUUUAUUGGGCGUAAAGAGCUCGUAGGCGGUUCAGUAAGUCGGGUGUGAAAACUCUGGGCUCAACCCAGAGACGCCACCCGAUACUGCUGUGACUAGAGUGCGGUAGGGGAGCGGGGAAUUCCUAGUGUAGCGGUGAAAUGCGCAGAUAUUAGGAGGAACACCAGUGGCGAAGGCGCCGCUCUGGGCCGUAACUGACGCUGAGGAGCGAAAGCGUGGGUAGCAAACAGGAUUAGAUACCCUGGUAGUCCACGCCGUAAACGUUGGGCACUAGGUGUGGGUCCCAUCCAACGGGAUCCGCGCCGCAGCUAACGCAUUAAGUGCCCCGCCUGGGGAGUACGG